rnacentral:rRNA from 1 species
UACGUAGGUGGCGAGCGUUGUCCGGAAUUAUUGGGCGUAAAGCGCGCGCAGGUGGGAUCUUAAGUCCAUUUUGAAAGUUCGGAGCUCAACUCCGUGAGGGGAUGGAAACUGAGAUUCUUGAGUACCGGAGAGGAAAGCGGAAUUCCCCGUGUAGCGGUGAAAUGCGUAGAUAUGGGGAGGAACACCAGUGGCGAAGGCGGCUUUCUGGACGGUGUCUGACACUGAGGCGCGAAAGCCAGGGGAGCAAACGGG